CCAAUAGCGUAUAUUAAAGUUGUUGCAGUUAAAAAGCUCGUAGUUGAAUUUCGGGAUCAAUAUGUCGGUCGUGCCUCGGUACGUACUGGCGUCAUUGGUUUCUCCCCUCUGAAGAACCGCGAUGUCAUUAAUUUGGUGUCGUGGGGAAUCAGGACUGUUACUUUGAAAAAAUUAGAGUGUUUAAAGCAGGCUCGCGCUUGAAUACAUUAGCAUGGAAUAAUGAAAUAGGACGUUUGAUUCUAUUUUGUUGGUUUCUAGGAUCGACGUAAUGAUUAAUAGGGAUAGUUGGGGGCAUUAGUAUUCAAUUGUCAGAGGUGAAAUUCUUGGAUUUAUUGAAGACUAACUACUGCGAAAGCAUUUGCCAAGGAUGUUUUCAUUAAUCAAGAACGAAAGUUAGGGGAUCGAAGACGAUCAGAUACCGUCGUAGUCUUAACCAUAAACUAUGCCGACUAGGGAUCGGAUGAUGUUGAUUUUUUAAUGACUCAUUCGGCGCCUUAC
rnacentral:rRNA from 1 species